rnacentral:rRNA from 1 species
UACGGAGGGUGCAAGCGUUAUCCGGAUUUAUUGGGUUUAAAGGGUCCGUAGGCGGAUCUGUAAGUCGUGGUGAAAUCUCACAGCUUAACUGUGAAACUGCCAUUGAUACUGCAGGUCUUGAGUGUUAUUGAAGUAGCUGGAAUAAGUAGUGUAGCGGUGAAAUGCAUAGAUAUUACUUAGAACACCAAUUGCGAAGGCAGGUUACUAAGCAACAACUGACGCUGAUGGACGAAAGCGUGGGGAGCGAACAGG